GGGCCCGUAGCUCAACUGGCAGAGCAGCGGACUUUUAAUCCGACGGUUCAGGGUUCGAGUCCCUGCGGGCCCA
rnacentral:tRNA from 1 species